GUUUGGGAAAGGGCCUUGUUGUGUGUACGGUGUGUGCUGGUAACUCCCCCCGGGGUGUGGGCCCAGCCGUGGUGCCGCUUGGGCUGAGGGUGCUCUCUUGCUUCAGUUGCUUGUUUCCUGACUGGUUGUUAAUGAAUUUUUUCACUAAGGGGAAUAUAUAUAUUCCUUGGUCACUGUGCACACUCGUAUUUCAUUACCUUUUGCUAAUACAACAAUAUGCUCUUUCUCUUGGGCUGGCAGUUCAGGCAGUGUAUGAGGCUUCUCCUGCUUUAUUGUAUUUGUCAUGUUGGUUCUUGGGUGGUGGCCUGAAAACAGAAAAGAAAAAUAUGAUUGAUGUUAGUUGUGCUUUUUUUUUUUUCCUUUUCAGGAAUCACUUAAUAAAAUGGAUGUCAAAAUCCAAGCAUUAAGGAAGAUAUUUUCUUUUUGCAGGGUUGCUCAGGAGUCCACUUCUAAUCCUGUCAAGGUGGGUUUAUGUGUAGUCCUACUUAAGCUAAGCACUUGGAGUCUGCGGAACAAGGGACUGUGUCUGUACCUGAAAAGCAAAAGUGUGUUAUCUGGUGUAAAAUGUAAAUAAAUGGUUGUAAUUAAAAACACAUUAGGUAGGAGCUUGUUCAAAGCUGACAAAUGAAGGUAUAAUAUAACCAUAGGAAAUGACAGCUUUAAAAAAAGCUUUAAAAACAUUUAUACUUGUGCUUCUGAAGUAAAUGACAUUGAUGCUGUACUUUUAAGUUCAUAUCAGACCAGAAAUAAAUGUGUGAGAAAUCUUACCAUAGCUGUUAAGGAGCAUUUCUUAGACUUAGUAUUUUGUUGCCUUGAGGAAUGACUGGAGAAAUAGUGGAGGACUGUUUUCCUUAAAAGUAAUUCUUAACACCUUCUCUAACAGUAGGGGAAGAAAUAAUAAAGGUAAACUUUUGUGAAAAGAACUUCAUAGAGAAAGAGAAUAAAUGUCAUUCUGUUUGGGGCCUGUUUCUAUUAUAACAAUUACCAGAUUGGCGUACUAAGCAUUCCGUAGAGCUAUGCAAUUACAUGAAGGUAAAGAUACUCUUUCUAUUGAUAACAGCAUUGUGAAACUAUGCUUUAACUCUUGAAUGUGAAGAAUAACCAUACCCAAGAACUGUGCUGAACUUACUGUGUAAUGGUUAAGGAUUUUCACCUCAUUAAAAACCUAUAAUAUUAAAAAUACAAUAUUUUAAUAGUUUAAUGGCAUUUAUGUUCAACUGUUCUAGCUGUGCUUUCUUCACCAAGAUCUAGCAAACGAAUUCUUAGUGUCACAAGGUUACCUGAAAUUAUUCAAUAUUGGUGUACUCCAAACUUGUAGUACUCUGACUAAAUCUUUGAAAGUCUGUUCAAGGGUCAAGAUAGACGACAAGCUAAUUUUCACCUAAAGCAUAUAAGAAUCUAAAGCUUCUGUUAUUAGAAUAAAAUUGUAUUGAAAACUCUAAUUGGAGCAGACUUUAGACUUUUUUUAAAAAGUCUUGAACUAGUUUGAAACCAAAUAAUGUCUUGGCCUAAAAAACCCUUUCUGUAAUUGACUUCUUAAGGUGGUAACUUGUGUUAGGAGCAUGAUGGUGGGAGUCUGGCGAAACUUACUGUAAAUGGGGAAAAACAAGAGUCUAUGUAUAAGCAGGUCCAGUAGGUAGUCCGACUGACUGAGCCAAAAUGCAUUGAGAGCCAUCUGUUACGCAGAAGUUUGCAUGCUCUAAGUUGAUAUGAUGAGAACCUCAUAUGCUGAGUAAGACAAACUUGAUGAAGUUACUAAAUAAAUUAGUAUUUAUUUAGUAAUUCACUGGUAACUUACGAGACAUGGAGUAUAGAAAUAGGUACAGUGUUCUUGUCUGAUAUUCUUAGUUGUGCUUUAGGAGGCCAGACACUAGAAAGCCUGAAAAAUUCAUAAAAAGUUUUUACUAGAACUCUGUAUCUCUUCUCAUAACAAAAUUAAAUCUGUCCUAUCUGAUUUGUGGCAACUGGGACUUGAUCAACAUAAUUUUAGUUUUGUAAAUCAAUCUUUAAAAUGUUAUACUUCACCAUCCCAUGCCUCUGUUGCUGCUGUAUAGCCUCUGAGAGGAAAAACACUGUUCUUUGAUGAAAAUGACACUGCAAGUCCAAAUUAAUAUUAAUUGAGGCUUCGUUGUGUUGACCACUGUGGAGAUGCUUUAAACUAUCUUGUAUGAUGUGCUAAUAAACCAUUCCUGAAUGUGGGUGCAAUUUAUACUGGCAAGAUAAUUUUGCCUUUGUCAAGACAGCUUUUUCUUUAUUUAAAUUAAGAAGAGAGGGAAUGGAAAGUGGAACUAAACUAUACCGUGAUUUUUUUGCAUAAUUGUCUACAAUAUGAAUGCUCGCUAGACUGGUUAUGUUGGCCACAAAUCACCUUUUGGUGACCCAUGAACAAUUUCACAUUAUGAACAGAAAGGCACAAGACCUGGGUGAAGAGUUUACUUGGAGCAUUUACAGCAUAAGCAAUUUGGGCAGAGUUUUCAAGUGCUAGCUCAUCAUAUGAGACUAUAUUCUAAGCUGCACUGAACUUCAAAUGUAUAUGUAUUUAAACAUUAAUGAUAUUUGGUUCUCUGUAUGUACAUGCAGAGUCGGCUGCUGCUUUGAAGAGAUCACCUUCCUGCAUGGAGGAAGGGAUGCCACAGAGUGCUUAGUGAUAAGAACAGUAACUUGUUAAUUAUGUGUUAACAUAGAAUAGUUAGAGCUUUGUAGCUAAUGAGGCAGCUUCAUAGAGUAGUAGUGCAAGUUGUAGUGAAAGAAAAACUGAUAUAGGGCUUCCUAUUUGUUUGUGAGGAUGGCAUGCAGAGACAGAAGAGCGACUCUGAUUCAGCUGACUUGCUGUAAAGUGAAGAUGACAGUUAAAACAACUUGAAGAUCUGAUCAAGAUAAUGGAACAGGGGUCAGCAGUGAGAAGAAAUAUCCCUUUCACUCCUGGAGACAAGAAACUGAAAGCGACUGCAGUCUCGCCAUCAGCAUGUGAAUACAUAUACAAUUGCCUUCACUUCAAAUCUUGAGAGCAGGUGGGUUUGGGUGCUGUUGGUAUUAUCUGAGUAUUUUACACUGUCAACAACUGAUUUUGUUUACAGGUGGGGACAAGUUCUUCGUGCUAAAAAGGGAGAAUAUGAGGAAUACUAAGGCUUUUAACUUUGCUGCCUGGUAGACCAGUGCUAUUUUAAAUCUGAUCCAAAAUUAUCCUUUUCUACAGAGAAGUGCUUUAAAUACAGAAGGGUUGUGAAAUUAAUUCCUAUGAAUCCAACAACAACCAACCAGAAAGAAGAAAAAAAAAUAAAAUGUACUGUGUCAUAUGUAUAUAUCUUAACAGUUUGCUCCUUUUCUGGGUUGGGCAGCUAGAAGAGAUGAAUCUAGAUUCUUUUCCCUACAUCUCUCAGCGUCAAUUGCAUCUGUCUGUCAUGGCUUAUCUGAUGAGUGGGGGAAAAGGUCUAGUUAUCCUUGUGGCUGGUUCAUGAAAGAUAGUUCCCCAGAAGGGGUUUUUGGAUGCCUUGAAGAGCGUUUUGUGGUUAGGGUCUAAAGCAUCAUUGCCAUUAAGAAGCAGUCCUGCUCUUUACAGGCAUCUUUUUGCUGCUGCUACCCUGUCUCUGUUGUGUCAACUAGUAUUUAUGCGGUAGCACAGUUAGGCAGAUCAAGGAGGUAAUCCGACUGAAAACUAAUCCAGCUGAAAGCGCAGCUAUUUUUCAGGCACAUGUGCAAGUGUUAGCACAGAGUGGUGGGAAAGCAUGGCCCCUGUGUGGUGAGGGAAGCUUGCACACAGAUUGGCAUCCUGGAAGCAUGCCUUUAGCACUUCCCUAGGCCUUUGGGUAAAAGUCACCUUUAAUUAGAUGUGUUUUACUGGAGUGUUCUCAGGCAUAGCUGCUCUGCCGUAGGAUCUGUUUGGGCUGCUGAUGAAGCACCACAUUAUAUUUCUUGAUUGAGCUAUCCAGUUAAGCAGAUGGCAGCAUGUACUUAAAAGAUGACCAACUUGGGAUCGCAUAGUGAGUAUAGACAUUAAUCUGUGUAAUGAUUUUAAGCAGUUCAUUUCUCUUCAUUGCCACGUGGUGGUGAUGUUGGUUGUUGCCUUCAAGGAGCUUUGGACUUCCAUUGCUGAGGGUAAGUGGCAGAUAAGUUGGCAAGGAAUGUUUUACAGGUCAAUAUCUAUGAUGGCCUUUUCCAGUUCUGCAGCGUUUUUCCCAGUUAUCCACAUGGUGGGGGCAUUUGAGCUCCUAUUUGUAUUCCAUUUUACAUGUAAACAUUUUUGUACCUCAGCAGGGUCAGCUAAUAAGCAGUAGAAAGUAUUUUGCUAAGGAUAACUUUGACAAAAUACAAUAGAUUUCAAGGUAGCAUGCUGCGGGUAUCUCCAUUUGAAUCCUUGCUCAGCUGUCAUCCUAAGUUACUCUAUAUCUAGAAGGUUUUCCUACCCUAUCUUUACCAGAUCAAUCAAAGUCUUGGUUGUGAUCUUUUUGUCUUUGCAAUGAACCUGUUUCUCUGGCGAGAUCUGAACUCUGUCCUCAUGUCCUCAGUGGGUCAGCUCUCACCUUCUCUGAACGUACAGUUCUUGGUGCCUUUCAUUAUGGUGUUGCUGGUUGAAGCAUAGUCCUUUAAUCUCUGUCCAUCUUGAGACUCCAGGACUUUGAGUAAAGGCUCUUCUGUGUGAAAUACUGACUUGUUUCAUUUUCAGGGUGACAAUGUUUAUAAUGAGUCUUGUAUGUUUAUUUGCCACUAACUAGCUAAUCUGGAGAUGAUGGAUGUUUAUGCUUGCCAAGGUGAGUGGUGGAGUGGUCGGUUGCAUCCCUGGAAGACUCAAAGAUUUUGCAGUUGUAGGGAACGGAGUGCUUGCGUUGCUUUCUCAGCAGAGUGUGCAGUAUAUGCCCUAUAGGUGUGUAUUCUCUAGUCCUGACUGUAUGUCAUCCAGCAUGUGAACAUAAAUACCAAAAGAUAUGUGACCUUUUCAUUAUGCAAAGGACAUAAAAACAGGAAUUCACCAAAUUAACUGAUAAAGAAUAACUGUGCUGUAUAUGGAAAAUGCUCUCCUCUCUCUCAGUUGCCUAUAACUAAUGUCUCAUUGGUUUCAUGCUGACAAGCAGAGAUGGAGAAGAGAUCAUCCAUUCAGAAGAAUGUGUGUGGAAAUGAGAUCAAUAGCACUGUAAAAUCCUCUCCGCUGACUAUUGGCGAUGAGCAUCAGUGUGAUCUAUGCCUUGAAGAAAUUUAUAUAGUAUAGGUAAAUGCAUAUUCUCUGUAAAGACAGCUUACAAAACAACUUGUUUAAAUAUGUUAAAGUCUGGGUUUUCUCCGCUUGCCUGUGUCCAGUACUACAAACUCAGAUUUACCGAGUCUUACAUCUUUUUGUUCCUUAGCUUAAGUUUUUAUGGUUUUCUUCACAGAAAGCAGAAGAGGAAAAUGGAAAAUCAAGAUUAUCAUGUAUUUUCAAGUCACACUUGGCUAAAAUAAGAAGGAGAACUUGAUGAUACGUGAUGCAGAAAACAACUGAGAAGAAGAAGAGAAAGCAUCAAAUCAAUUUUUCUUUAUAUAAACUCUGUUCCAACAUGACAUUAGUUACAGUAGGGAAUGUUGGGCAGUGCUGGGCUGUUGCGGCCCGGUGCUGGGGUUUUGCAUAGCUCUGAACAUGUUUGGGUGGAUAGAGGAUGUCCAGCUAUCACAAUCAUAGAGUUUCCACAGCCUGUGUGAGUGUCUUGACAGCUAACUAUGUUCUGUUGCAAGACGCUGUGUUGGACUGUGUGUACAUAAUGUUUCCAUACUCAGCCUGUGAGGUGUGGGAAAAAGAAGGUAGCAGUCUUGAUUUAUGAGUCAAAGUUUUUGGAGGUGUGGAAGAGUAGUCAGGGAAGGAACAUAAAAAGGUGAAGAUUGGGGAAUGGAAUGUUUGGCGUUGGUUUUAAUUGGAAUCAUCCUGUUCAUCACUCAUAUUGUGAGAUAAAGGAGGGAAAAUAUCCAUUACUAUAGCACACUCAAAGAGAAAAUAUUUGUAUUAUAGUUAGUGAGCAAUUCUAAUUGACCUGACAAAGGUAAUUGAACUGAAAUACAGACCUUACUCCAACAGUAAGUGUAUUUCUCUUAUGGUAGCGUGAGAUACACAACUGCCAUUACAUUUAUCCCUAAUCUGUCUGCAAUCUAAUGACAUGUCUAAAAUUCACGCUACUAUUAAUUCAGUAUUAAACUUAGCAAUUAUCUCUGUCAGCCAAAAAAUUAAUAAAGCCCAAUCAAUUAACCUUUCUCUCAUGAACACAAGCCUUCUUGUGCCUCUCUCCUGAAAAAGGUAAGAAGAUGACACUCGUUAUGGCCUGACAGAGUGACUGUUGUAAACCAGAGAAGGAGGUUGGUCGAUGACUUUGAGAGCUCAGAGCUGAAGGUUCUUCUGAGUUUUGGGGGACUUCAUUCUUGCCCAGGAGGAACCAGCCGUUGAACUUCUCUGCUUGCCUUCUCCAAGGUGUGGUGCUGUGACAUGACGAGGGGCAUGUGCUACCUGUGACGGCAGCUAGUCAGCUAGCCAUGGAGGGCAACCUAUGUUGUAAUCUCCCUUCCAGCAGUGCAAACCAACUGACGUGACCGAUGCUGUUACUUCACGUGUUACUGUAAAUUAGAUUAGGAUCUGCUCCUCCUGGGUUUGUUGAAUUAGCUGGCAGUAUCUUUAAAAUACUUUGUAGAGCGUUUGGAGUGUGAUGUGAAACGCAUCAUUUUUAAGGCUGAAACCUUACUAAAUGAAGUGAAACAAUCUGAGAUCCUUCCAUGUGUCAAGGGGAAAAGUUUAAGAGGUUUAAGUUCAGAUCGUUCUACAUCUUAUAAUUUAAUAAGUGUCAGGAUAAGUGUGUACGAGUAACCCUUUCACCCCCUAGUUGAUACAAAAGAUUUUUCUCACUUUACAUGAAUGUCUCAAUGUAGAUUGUAGCUUCCUCUAAACCAAUUUCUUUUUUUGGCUUCUGACUUAAAAACAUGCAAAGAGAUGUUCCAGGGUAAGUACUCUGAAUUACUCUCAAGCUGCCAGAUGUCUUACCUAAAAAUAGUGGUAGAGAAAACUCUUAAUUGAUUGCUUUCCUUUUCUAAAAGAUACAGUAAGGCAGUUUUGACAUUAUUCCAUUCAGGUCAUCAAAUUCAUGUAAGCUAUUGUAGUACAAUGUAAAACAUACAUUUUAGAAGAAUGAAAAGUGCAGCAAGUUUGAAUGAUGCGUGAACAUAAAUUUACUCAUCUUUUAUAUAAUGCCUUCUUGAGGUGCUGACGUUUUCAGUACAUUAAUUGUUCAUAAUGAAUACUCUUGCAUAAAAUAUUUCAAAGGUAAUUUUCUGAGGCCAAAGAAUGACUAAAAAGUUAUUCACUAAAGAGCAGCCAAUAGUCUGUAUCCAAAAGGAGACCCACAGGAUGUGAAAUAAACUGAUGCAACAGGCAAGAAGUUUGGUUAUAUGAAAGAAUCUGCCCUUUUACAGCUUUGAUGCCCUAGAACAGAAGCCACGGAAGCGAUGUUGGCUGGUGCAGCGGCAAUAUCAUUAUGUUCUAAUCAUAUGCCAUUGAAGGAAAGGAAAAAAACAGCUUUGGGCGAAAUAUCCAUACCUCUUGUAGCAGAAGUCCAAGAGAUAGUCACUUCUGCUGCAAGUAAUAUGUGAUCAUUUUUGUGCUAUAUACUUCAGGAUGGAUAAUACUAAUCAGUGAAGAUAAGGUAUGUUUAAAGAAUCUGCUUAAAAAUAAGGAAAAUAAAUUAGUCAAUCGAUUGGACUGCUUCUAGGCAGUAGAUUUUAAACAACUUGUCACAUAUUUCUUGGCUGUUACAGCCUCACAUAAGAGCUUUUCCUCAUUCAUAAAGAAAAUCAAUAGUAAAUAGUGAAAUCAAUAGUGGUAUUUAAAAACUCACCAAACAUUUUCCAUCCAGAGAAAGUCUCACUUUCAGAGUGCCACUAAUGCAACAGGCAGAGUGGGAAAAACACGUAGGCUUGGCCUUAAUGGUAAAUAAGAGAGUGCAGUUAGAAAGUGCAGUGAAGAAAGAUGCUUUCAGAAGCAACCCGGAGGAAGACCUGCCUGCUCGCCUACAAGAGCAAACCUCCAAACAGAGACACUGUGGGCAUCAGCUUGCAAAAGUCCUUUGCUUGAAGAUGUACUCUAGAUGCUAUGCUGACUUCCAGCUGAAGGAAACUGGCGUGAACAGCAACAAAAAUGUCACAUAAUGGUGAAAACACCAACAGAAACACAGUAGAGUAAGUUUCUUGUAGCACAUUACAACCGUAUGUCCUGCUGUGCUCCAGGCAAUGAAGAGGAAACAUUUGCUACUUCAGGGUGCUUCAUUCUGCUAUCCCAGAAAACCUGGGAUCAUUGUGGAAAUGGGGAGAUACAAGCCAUGUAAUUAGAUUUGUUUGUUAGUUUAUAUUUUUAGUAGAAGCAUGAAGAGGAGUAAUACAGUACAUGGUGAUCUUGCGGCUGUGUCUGUAUUAAGGCAACUUCUGUGCUGAAGAAGAUGUGUUUUAGUUACAAGCUGUACCAGUUAAUACAACUGUAAUUGCCCACAGUUGCCACAUUUGAUUUAUGAAAACAAAUAGGAUUUGUCAGUAUCCCCUCUCCUCCCCCAUCCUCCCCAAAGCAAUGCAGAACUGUUUUCCAGCCUCUUGCGUGGAGUUGUUCGGAAAUAGCAGGAGGCAGCAGCAGAAGAGCAAGCCUGUGGAGUUUGGGAGCCAUGGUCUUUCCUGAAAGGCUGAUUUUCUGAGCUGCUGCAGCCGAGAUGAGGUUCAGAGAGUUUGCUCAGUAUUGGCAUCUCCAGACACCCAUGCCCUUGCUCUCUCGGUGGCAUUCAAACAGAUUUUAAAAUAUGCUACUUUAUUACUCAUGGUGAUAUCUAGUUUGGAGGGUUCAUGUGGUUCACACUUUCCCAAGCUUUUUCUCUGAACUUCAGAGUUAGAAAUUCGUUUUUCUUUUUAGGUUAAAAUUCAGAUUCACAUGGAAGCACUUGACUCCAGAAGCUGCGGCUUCAACCAGGAGAUUGGAGAUUCAUGAUAAAGUUGGCAGAAUUGUACUGUUCUAAACACUGUCAGAGACAUAUGCUGCUCUUCCUCCUCCUGGAAGUAGUCCCACAGAUGUCUCAUGAUUAUUCACUUGAGUCAUGGUUGCAGAAUUGAGUGUUUGGCGGUUUGGAUUCCCAGAUUCCUACGCUGCAUAUUUAGGGUGUUUAAAGUGCAAAUUCUAAUAGAAGACCUGCCUGUUUUAAAACAUAAAGGAUGUGUUUUCCCAAACCCCAGUGUUUUGAAUUUAAACUGAAUCGCCUCUUGACUUACAACAAUGUUUGGUCAAAAUGAGACCUCUCCAAGGACAAAGAGACAAAAAAAUAUAAAAAUAAACUGGACAUGGC